UACGGAGGGUGCGAGCGUUGUCCGGAAUCACUGGGCGUAAAGGGCGCGUAGGCGGCAUGCCAAGCGUGUGGUGAAAGCCCGGGGCUCAACCCCGGGUCGGCCGUGCGGACUGGCGUGCUCGAGCACUGUAGGGGCGGGUGGAAUUCCGGGUGGAGCGGUGAAAUGCGUAGAGAUCCGGAGGAACACCGACGGCGUAGGCAGCGCCCUGGACGACACCUGACGCUGAGGCACGAAAGCUGGGGGAGCGAACAGG
rnacentral:rRNA from 1 species